rnacentral:lncRNA from 1 species
CUUUGCAAAGGUGAAAAAAUUAGAAUACAGAAUACUAUGGAUACUUGUUUGUAUAUUUCAGAACCUAAGAGCUAUCCACAUAUACUGGAUAUUGAGCAAGGAACAACUACUUUCAAGUCCUGCUUCUCUUAUAAUUAACAAAUCAUUGAACAUUUCAGGGUUCUAGGCAACUCUGCAACCAGAAGUAGCUAAAAAGAUGCUGACCAGUGGUGGUAGGGAUGUUUCUAGGAGCUCUGGGUUUUAGUAUCAACAUAGAUGAUAUUUUAGUACCUUAUUAAAUUCGCUUUUUUUUAAAAAAUAAUUAUACAAAAAUCCUAUGAUUUCCUUUUAGGUUGAAGAGGAAGAGAACAAGCCUCAACACAGUGAAAUGGAAACACCACUGGACGGAUUUGGAGAAAAACUACCUGAAGAUAACAUGACUGUCAAUUUUAAUAAGCUGCCAUUUAAUGUAAAGGAUCAUCAUGGCAAUGAAAGUGAGGAGAAUAAAAUCCCUGUGGAAGAAACUCCAAAACUGACUGUUCCUUCUUCCAAGGAAUCUUCAAUACCUGUGCUCCAUCGUUUCAUAAGGUUGAAGAGGAAGAGAACAAGCCUCAACACAGUGAAAUGGAAAUGCCACUGGACGGAUUUGAAGAAAAACUACCUGAAGAUAACAUGACUGUCAAUUUUAAUAAGCUGCCAUUUAAUGUAAAGGAUCAU